GACGAACGCUGGCGGCGUGCUUAACACAUGCAAGUCGAACGGUGAAGCGCCUUCCUUUUGGUGGGUGUGGAUGAGUGGCGGACGGGUGAGUAACACGUGAGUAACCUGCCCCCUUCUUCUGGAUAACCGAAUGAAAGUGUGGCUAAUACGGGAUAUUCUGGGUCUGUCGCAUGAUGGGUCUGGGAAAGAUAUUGUUUCGGUGGGGGAUGGGCUCGCGGCCUAUCAGCUUGUUGGUGGGGUGAUGGCCUACCAAGGCGGUGACGGGUAGCCGGCCUGAGAGGGUGGACGGUCACACAGGGAGUGAGGCACGGCCCAGACUCCGACGGGAGGCAGCAGUGGGGAAUAGUGCACAGUGGGCGCAAGCCUGAUGCAGCGACGCCGCGUGAGGGAUGGAGGCCUGCGGGUGGUGAACCUCUUUCGCCAGUGAAGCAGUCCUGCCUCGUUUGUGGGUGGGUUGACGGUAGCUGGAUAAGAAGCGCCGGCUAACUACGUG
rnacentral:rRNA from 1 species